UGUAUUUUCAGAAUUUUGUGUAUAAUCAUUUAAAAAGUGUGAAAAAAUUUAAUGAUUUCCGUGUGUAAACAAAGAUAGAGAGAGUGGGAGUGUGGUUGCUUGGAACGAUCGCUUAUGGAAUAUUUCAAAUUAGAACUGAAAGACAUUUAAUUUGAAGAUUGACACAGACCCAGAACUAAUUAUUCAACGAAAAAGUUAUAUCAUUGAAAAGUUAAGUCACUAAAGUGACAAGAACAUAAACAACGUCACUAAAGGAACACCUUGAAAAGAUUAACAAGUCCAAAAGAGCCAACUUUGCCUAGGCAUACUUAAGCAAACAAA
rnacentral:sRNA from 1 species